CAAAAAAAAAAAAAAAGUGAAAAUGAACAACAGCAAGUGCAGUAAAAAUCUGGUGAAAUUUGCACUUUCUCUGAGUGGCAGCUGUGGUAAACACAGUGCCUGCAACACAUUGAUUGAGGCCAAUGUAGAAAAAGAAAAAUAAAUUUAAAGACAAAUUUGAUAAAUUCAAGGCACCAAAUGGAAGGGAGACAACAAGAACAGUGAAAUUGGACAACGGAUUGCCUAGCUUCGUUAUUUUGUGUGUUUUCGCAGUUGCCAGUUGGAAUGAUUGAAGAACGGUGGGUGAAAAAUAUUGAAGGAAAUGAGAAGGAGAUGUCAACAUUUCCACUGCCAUAUUACAUUUAUUUUCCAUGGCAGUGAAAGCAGAAAGAAAGUUAUGCUUCAUUGAUUUGACACAUGCUCUCACUAAAUGUUUGAAUGUUCCAGGUGCCUCAGAUUUUAUCUGUAUAUUAUAUUUUUUUUCUAAUUAAUUUUAACUAAAUUACAAUUAAAUUCUUAAUUUAAAACACAAUUUAUAAAUUAUUAUUACAACAUGUAAUCUUUAAAUUUAUUUUUAUUAAUAAAUUAAUUCGUCAACUGCUUUUUAAUUUAAUAAUUUAAUUCUUAAAAUUUUAUUUUAUUAAUAGAAUAAUUUUU
rnacentral:misc_RNA from 1 species